rnacentral:rRNA from 1 species
AUUGAACGCUGGCGGCAGGCCUAACACAUGCAAGUCGAGCGUGCGGCGGACGGGUGAGUAAUGUCUGGGAAACUGCCUGAUGGAGGGGGAUAACUACUGGAAACGGCAGUUAAUACCGCAUUCCAUCAGAUGUGCCCAGUUGGGAUUAGCUAGUAGGUGGGGUAACGGCUCACCUAGGCGACGAUCCCUAGCAGGUCUGAGAGAAUGACCAGCCACACUGUAACUGCGACACGAUCCAGACGCCUACGGGAGGCAGCAGUGGGGAAUAAUGCGCAAUAGGCGCAAGCCUGAGGCAGCCAUGCCGCGUGUGUGAAGAAGGCCUUCGUGUUGUAAAGCUCUUUCAGCAGGGAGGCGUUACCCACAGAAGAAGCACCGGCUAACACCGUGCCAGCAGCCGCGGUAAUAC